rnacentral:rRNA from 1 species
GAUGAACGCUGGCGGCGUGCCUAAUACAUGCAAGUCGAGCGAACGGACGAGAAGCUUGCUUCUCUGAUGUUAGCGGCGGACGGGUGAGUAACACGUGGAUAACCUACCUAUAAGACUGGGAUAACUUCGGGAAACCGUAGCUAAUACCGGAUAAUAUUUUGAACCGCAUGGUUCAAAAGUGAAAGACGGUCUUGCUGUCACUUAUAGAUGGAUCCGCGCUGCAUUAGCUAGUUGGUAAGGUAACGGCUUACCAAGGCAACGAUGCAUAGCCGACCUGAGAGGGUGAUCGGCCACACUGGAACUGAGACACGGUCCAGACUCCUACGGGAGGCAGCAGUAGGGAAUCCUCCGCAAUGGGCGAAAGCCUGACGGAGCAACGCCGCGUGAGUGAUGAAGGUCUUCGGAUCGUAAAACUCUGUUAUUAGGGAAGAACAUAUGUGUAAGUAACUGUGCACAUCUUGACGGUACCUAAUCAGAAAGCCACGGCUAACUACGU